rnacentral:rRNA from 1 species
CUACGCACUCCUACGGGAGGCAGCAGUGGGGGAAUAGUUGCACAAUGGGCGCAAGCCUGAUGCAGCCAUGCCGCGUUGUAUGAAGAAGGCCUUCGGGUUGUAAAGUACUUUCAGCAGUGAGGAAGGUGGGUAUGUUAAUAGCAUAUUUCAUUUGACGUUAGCUGCAGAAGAAGCACCGGCUAACUCCGUGCCAGCAGCCGCGGUAAUACGGAGGGUGCGAGCGUUAAUCGGAAUUACUGGGCGUAAAGCGCAUGCAGGUGGUUUGUUAAGUCAGAUGUGAAAGCCCGGGGCUCAACCUCGGAAUUGCAUUUGAAACUGGCAAACUAGAGUACUGUAGAGGGGGUAGAAUUUCAGGUGUAGCGGUGAAAUGCGUAGAGAUCUGAAGGAAUACCGGUGGCGAAGGCGGCCCCCUGGACAGAUACUGACACUCAGAUGCGAAAGCGUGGGGAGCAAACAGGAUUAGAUACCCUGGUAG